UCCACUUCUGAAGGAUCCAAUGCCUUCUUUCUGACUGCCACAGCCACUAGGUAGCGUGCGUUUUGUCUUGAACUGCUGCCUAAUGUGCAAACAUGGCUCAGCCUUCUGCAAACUUUUGGUCAAGGGAGAGAGCUCAGAGCUUGGCCAAUAGCCUGGACUCUCUAAAGGGAUGGUGCCUGUAACUUAGCUGAAGAGGAACUGGUAGACAAGUCAUCAGAAAACAACUGAGGAAUCCUGCCCUGACCUAUCAGCUCUUUGCUGCCUCCAAACUCUUGCAGCAAUGGGAGAGGCACAUUCACUUGGAAAUGUCAUGAACAGGCGUUCGUUUACUUUGGAUUCAGGCCAAAGAGUUAAGCCAGUGUCAUUUGUAGGCACAAUCAUUUUAAAUUCAGACUCAUGAAGACCUUUUCUGGUAUUUUUGUCUGAAUUAGAGAUGCAACUUAAUGCUGUUGUGCUUGGGGACAUUCAUUUGAGAAGACCAUGUUGGUGGCAUAACUCCCUAGGAGAAAGAAGAAAUAGCUCCCCAUCUUCCUAUACAGGAAUCUGCUGAAAUAGCCAACUCUACCCACAACGUUUAGAGGUCAUGGCCUCUUGUGCACUUGGGUCCAUAUGUUCAAAGUAGCUUGGGAAAUAAUUUAUCAGUAGUUAACAUCCCUUUCCUAUCAGCUGUUUCCAGGAAAGAGAGCUAACAUUGAGCAAUGGAAGUUGUUCCAACCUACAUUUGAAAGGUUGUUUUUGCUGUGUGUUUCUGAGAAAAGGCACAUUGUCAACACCACUGUCCCAGAGAGCACUGAUCGAUAAGCGCUUCCUAGGAGGAGGGCUUCCACAAGAGGUGAAGCCAGGGCAGCUUGGAGCUGGAGUUAGCUUUGGGAAGUCUUUGGGUGAACUAUGAGAAUGAGGGUGGCUCUGCUUCAUUCCUCAUGUGAACUUCUUUGCUAGAGAUUAUCUAUUUGCUAAGAAACAAAAUUGAAAACUUUGUGCAGGGAGUCCAUGGGGCAGGCUUCUGUUCCAACCUUAAGUGUCAGGGAAGAGAGCAAGGAAGGAUUCUGGGAAGAAGUAAGUUCUGCAUUGAGUCCUGAAAGAUGCAUUUUAGUCAGUGCAUUGGUCAGUGCCCUGGACCAAUGUCAUCUAAAGAACAUCAAGAAACAAAUAUAUAAGCUGGGCAUGAUGGCAUACUCCUUCAAUCCCAGCAUCCAGGAGAUAAGAAGAGGAAGGAGGAGGAGGAGGAGGAGAAGGAGGAGAAAUAGGAGGAGGAAAGGAAGGAAGUAACAGAGGUAUAGGGACAAUAAAUUUAUUUAGAAUAUUAAUUUAGAAAACACCAGAAAGUGAUGGGAGUAGGGAUGGGCAGGGAGGGGAAGAGAGGGAAAAGGAAGAAAGGCUAAGAGAAGCUAGAAGAGGCAAUGGAAGG